rnacentral:rRNA from 1 species
AGUGAACGCUGGCGGUAGGCCUAACACAUGCAAGUCGAACGGCAGCACAGUAAGAGCUUGCUCUUACGGGUGGCGAGUGGCGGACGGGUGAGGAAUACGUCGGAAUCUACUUUUUCGUGGGGGAUAACGUAGGGAAACUUACGCUAAUACCGCAUACGACCUACGGGUGAAAGCAGGGGAUCUUCGGACCUUGCGCGAUUGAAUGAGCCGAUGUCGGAUUAGCUAGUUGGCGGGGUAAAGGCCCACCAAGGCGACGAUCCGUAGCUGGUCUGAGAGGAUGAUCAGCCACACUGGAACUGAGAAACGGUCCAGACUCCUACGGGAGGCAGCAGUGGGGAAUAUUGGACAAUGGGCGCAAGCCUGAUCCAGCCAUACCGCGUGGGUGAAGAAGGCCUUCGGGUUGUAAAGCCCUUUUGUUGGGAAAGAAAAGCAGCAGGUUAAUACCCCGCUGUUCUGACGGUACCCAAAGAAUAAGCACCGGCUAACUUCGUG